UAACGCAUUCUACUUUUCUGAGAAUAUAUUUUUUGAAAAAACUAAAUCGCCAGAGAUGCAUCUCUAUCACCGAAAGAAUUCCACGACCGUUUCGAAAGUGGGUUAAAUACCGACUAUUGAAAAGGUGGGUAUUUGACUCAUCUGGUAUGAAGGUUGUGGGUUUCAGCGAUGAUGUUUGCUCUGUUUUUAAGCAGAUUGGUGGUGGUUUGAAUCCUCUACCGUCGUAAGUUUCAUGGCAGCCUACCUACUGGGGUGAUGGUGUCGCGGAGUCAAAUGGUCAAGUUUGUCAACUUGACCAGUUUUGCUAGCCUUCCUUUCGCAAGUCGAUUUUGAAGCUGGUUUGAAGAAAGAUAUUGAGGAUUUCAAACAACUUGUUCUGAAGAUAAAACUGUCUAGAAACUCAACUGUUCCGGUUGUUUUGACUUUGUUUUGCUGUCUAUGUGAUGACGCCCAACUAACCACGGGAGUUGAGCUUGUGUACCUACUCAUUUUAUGUUUUUAUGAACAUAAUUUUUUUGAAAAUGAUGUACAUUCAUGCAUUCUUCAUAUUUUUAAUAUUUACUGUUUGAUAUUUAUUUUCUUUUUAUUUUCAACGACUUAGCUUUCUUCGUUUACAGUAAUGCCUUUUUUCAUGAUGAUAACGUCUGUUGCUAUCUUUUCAUGAGCGUUUGGGACUUUAUUAAGGGCGAUCUGCACAAAGGUCUGUCCAUUCUUCAUUUCAAUAAGGGUGUUGUUAAUAUGAGAGGGUGGCGGAGUACUUUGCGAGACCUGCGAUUUUCUGCAUUGAAACGUGCUAGCCGACGCCAGGGUCAGUUAUACCACAAAGCUUUUGGUAUUGUUAAAUUUCAUAAAAACUUUAUGAUGCACGUAGACAGUUAUUUGACAAUACCAGCAUUCCGUCGGCUGACAUAUGCUACCAAGUUACUAAGGGAAGCAUUUUCUAAUUUUCCGGCGAAGUUUUUUUAUCUGGUUGCCACUCUUAUUUGACGACGUCAGGUCGAGUUUGGACCUGAUGGUUUGGUGUCACACAUCCGAAGGACAGUAACCUCAUGUUCUACUUUUUCAUGAGAUGCCAAUUUUUCAGGACAGUAAU